rnacentral:rRNA from 1 species
CAGCCGCCACGGGAAUACGGAGGGUGCAAGCGUUAAUCGGAUUUACUGGGCGUAAAGCGUGCGUAGGUGGCUGUUUAAGUCGGAUGUGAAAGCCCUGAGCUUAACCUGGGAACUGCAUUCGAUACUGGAUAGCUAGAGAUCGGUAGAGGGCAGCGGAAUUCCGGGUGUAGCGGUGAAAUGCGUAGAUAUCCGGAGGAACACCGAUGGCGAAGGCAACUGCCUGGGCCUGAUCUGACACUGAGGCACGAAAGCGUGGGUAGCAAACAGGAUUAGAUACCCCCGUAGUCCCUGUCUCUUAUAC